UACGAAGGGGGCUAGCGUUGCUCGGAAUCACUGGGCGUAAAGCGUACGUAGGCGGAUUGCUAAGUCAGGGGUGAAAUCCUGGAGCUCAACUCCAGAACUGCCUUUGAUACUGGCGGUCUCGAGUCCGGGAGAGGUGAGUGGAACUGCGAGUGUAGAGGUGAAAUUCGUAGAUAUUCGCAAGAACACCAGUGGCGAAGGCGGCUCACUGGCCCGGUACUGACGCUGAGGUGCGAAAGCGUGGGGAGCAAACAGG
rnacentral:rRNA from 1 species